rnacentral:sRNA from 1 species
GGAUCUGGCACUCCCAGGACUCCCGGCCGGGGUCGCUCUUCACUCCUCAGCGCGACGUCGUGUCGAGUUCCCAAAAAGCUCCGCAGGGGCUGUAGGGAGGCAUACAAGAAUUAAAUUCUGAAUAAGUCUGCAGGUAGGAUGGACAGUUAUUUUAAAGCAGCUGUCAGUGACUUGGACAAACUCCUUGAUGAUUUUGAACAGAACCCAGAUGAACAAGAUUAUCUCCAAGAUGUACAAAAUGCAUAUGAUUCUAACCACUGCUCAGUUUCUUCAGAGUUGGCUUCCUCACAGCGAACUUCAUUGCUCCCAAAAGACCAAGAAUGCGUUAAUAGUUGUGCCUCAUCAGAAACAAGCUAUGGAACAAAUGAGAGUUCCCUGAAUGAAAAAACACUCAAGGGACUUACUUCUAUACAAAAUGAAAAAAAUGUAACAGGACUUGAUCUUCUUUCUUCUGUGGAUGGUGGUACUUCAGAUGAAAUGCAGCCGUUAUAUAUGGGACGAUGUAGUAAACCUAUCUGUGAUCUGAUAAGUGACAUGGGUAACUUAGUUCAUGCAACCAAUAGUGAAGAAGAUAUUAAAAAAUUAUUGCCAGAUGAUUUUAAGUCUAAUGCAGAUUCCUUGAUUGGAUUGGAUUUAUCUUCAGUGUCAGAUACUCCCUGUAUUUCUUCAACAGACCAUGAUAGUAAUACUGUCAGAGAACAACAGAAUGAUAUCAGUUCUGAAUUACAAAAUAGAGAAAUCGGAGGAAUCAAAGAAUUGGGUAUAAAAGUAGAUACAACACUUUCAGAUUCCUAUAAUUACAGUGGAAGAGAAAAUUUAAAAGAUGAAAAGAUCUUUAAUCAGUUACAAUCAAUUGUUGAUUUUAACAUGUCAUCUGCUUUGACUCAACAAAGUUCCAAAAUGUUUGAUGCCAAAGACAAGCUACAACACAAGAGCCAGCCAUGUGGAUUACUAAAAGAUGUUGGCUUAGUAAAAGAGGAAGUAGAUGUGGCAGUCAUAACUGCCGCAGAAUGUUUAAAAGAAGAGGGCAAGACAAGUGCUUUGACCUGCAGCCUUCUGAAAAAUGAAGAUUUAUGCUUAAAUGAUUCAAAUUCAAGAGAUGAAAAUUUCAAAUUACCUGACUUUUCCUUUCAGGAAGAUAAGACUGUUAUAAAACAAUCUGCACAAGAAGUCUCAAAAAAUUUAGACCUUAAGGAUAAUGAUGUAAUCCAAGAUUCCUCUUCAGCUUUACAUGUUUCCAGUGAAGAUGUACCGUCCUCAUUGUCCUGUCUUCCUGCAUCUGGGUCUAUGUGUGGAUCAUUAAUUGAAAGUAAAGCACGGGGUGAUUUUUUACCUCAGCAUGAACAUAAAGAUAAUAUACAAGAUGCAGUGACUAUACAUGAAGAAAUACAGAACAGUGUUGUUCUAGGUGGGGAACCAUUCAAAGAGAAUGAUCUUUUGAAACAGGAAAAAUGUAAAAGCAUACUCCUUCAGUCAUUAAUUGAAGGGAUGGAAGACAGAAAGAUAGAUCCUGACCAGACAGUAAUCAGAGCUGAGUCUUUGGAUGGUGGUGACACCAGUUCUACAGUUGUAGAAUCUCAAGAGGGGCUUUCUGGCACUAAUGUCCCAGAGUCUUCUGAUUGUUGUGAAGGUUUUAUUAAUACUUUUUCAAGCAAUGAUAUGGAUGGGCAAGACUUAGAUUACUUUAAUAUUGAUGAAGGCGCAAAAAGUGGCCCACUAAUUAGUGAUGCUGAACUUGAUGCCUUUCUGACAGAACAGUAUCUUCAGACCACUAACAUAAAGUCUUUUGAAGAAAAUGUAAAUGACUCUAAAUCGCAAAUGAAUCAGAUAGAUAUGAAAGGCUUAGAUGAUGGAAACAUCAAUAAUAUAUAUUUCAAUGCAGAAACAGGAGCUAUUGGGGAAAGUCAUGGUAUUAAUAUAAUUUGUGAAACAGUUGAUAAACAAAAUACAAUAGAAAAUGGCCUUUCUUUAGGAGAAGAAAGCACUAUUCCAGUUCAACAAGGGUUACCUACCAGUAAGUCUGAGAUUACAAAUCAAUUAUCAGUCUCUGAUAUUAACAGUCAGUCUGUUGGAGGGGCCAGACCUAAGCAAUUGUUUAGCCUUCCAUCAAGAACAAGGAGUUCAAAGGACCUGAAUAAGCCAGAUGUUCCAGAUACACUAGAAAGUGAACCCAGCACAGCAGAUACCGAUGUUCCAAUCACUUGUGCUAUAGAUUCUACAGCUGAUCCACAGGUUAGCUUCAACUCUAAUUACAUUGAUAUAGAAAGUAAUUCUGAAGGUGGAUCUAGUUUCCUAACUGCAAAUGAAGAUUCUGUACCUGAAAACACUUGCAAAGAAGGCUUGGUUUUGGGCCAGAAACAGCCUACUUGGGUUCCUGAUUCAGAAGCUCCAAACUGUAUGAACUGCCAAGUCAAAUUUACUUUUACAAAACGGCGACACCAUUGCCGAGCAUGUGGGAAAGUAUUUUGUGGUGUCUGUUGUAAUAGGAAGUGUAAACUGCAAUAUCUAGAAAAGGAAGCAAGAGUAUGUGUAGUCUGCUAUGAAACUAUUAGUAAAGCUCAGGCAUUUGAAAGGAUGAUGAGUCCAACUGGUUCUAAUCUUAAAUCUAAUCAUUCUGAUGAAUGUACUACUGUCCAGCCUCCUCAGGAGAACCAAACAUCCAGUAUACCUUCACCAACAACUUUGCCAGUCUCAGCACUUAAACAACCAGGUGUUGAAGGACUGUGUUCCAAAGAACAGAAGAGAGUAUGGUUUGCAGAUGGUAUAUUGCCCAAUGGUGAAGUUGCAGAUACAACAAAAUUAUCAUCUGGAAGUAAAAGAUGUUCUGAAGACUUUAGUCCUCUCUCACCUGAUAUGCCUAUGACAGUAAACACAGUGGAUCAUUCCCAUUCUACUACAGUGGAAAAGCCAAACAAUGAGACAGGAGAUAUUACAAGAAAUGAGAUAAUUCAGAGUCCUAUUUCUCAGUUUCCAUCAGUGGAAAAAUUGUCUAUGAACACAGGAAAUGAGGGGUUACCUACUUCUGGUUCAUUUACACUAGAUGAUGAUGUUUUUGCAGAAACUGAAGAACCAUCUAGUCCUACUGGUGUCUUAGUUAACAGCAAUUUACCUAUUGCUAGUAUUUCAGAUUAUAGGUUACUGUGUGAUAUUAACAAGUAUGUCUGCAAUAAGAUUAGUCUUCUACCUAAUGAUGAGGACAGUUUGCCCCCACUUCUGGUUGCAUCUGGAGAAAAGGGAUCAGUGCCUGUAGUAGAAGAACAUCCAUCUCAUGAGCAGAUCAUUUUGCUUCUUGAAGGUGAAGGCUUUCAUCCUGUUACAUUUGUCCUAAAUGCUAAUCUACUCGUGAAUGUCAAAUUCAUAUUUUAUUCCUCAGACAAAUAUUGGUACUUUUCAACCAAUGGAUUGCAUGGCUUGGGACAGGCAGAAAUUAUUAUUCUAUUGUUAUGUUUGCCAAAUGAAGAUACUAUUCCUAAGGACAUCUUCAGACUAUUUAUCACCAUAUAUAAGGAUGCUCUAAAAGGAAAAUACGUAGAAAACUUGGACAAUAUUACCUUUACUGAGAGUUUUCUCAGUAGCAAGGAUCACGGAGGAUUCCUGUUUAUUACACCUACUUUUCAGAAACUUGAUGAUCUCUCAUUACCAAGUAAUCCUUUUCUUUGUGGAGUUCUUAUCCAGAAGCUUGAGAUUCCCUGGGCAAAGGUUUUUCCUAUGCGUUUAAUGUUGAGAUUGGGUGCAGAAUAUAAAGGUAAGUUUUAGAGUAAUAAGUUAAAUUGCAUAUUUUUAAAUAUACUGAAUGUAAAGACUUUCAGGGAAUCAUUAAAAUCAGUUUUAAUGGAUUAAUGGAACUACUUUUGUUUUGCUAUGCUUUUAAAGUUCUAAGACAACCCUCUUCUACUACCAGGUUGGUCUAGAUAACUGUGGUAUGUCUUCAAGUUUCUAGAUGUUCAUAAGUUCUUUUAUUACCUAAAACUUUUCUUCUAAAAUUUCAGAACAAAACAGAAAACUUUCACAGUGCAGGUUGAGUAUGCCAUAUCUGAAAUGCAUUGGAUCAGUUUUUUGGAUUUUGGACUUUUUCAGAUUUUGGAAUAUUCACAGAGUACAUACCAGUUGAGCAUCCAAAUUCAAAAUCUGAAAUGCUCCAGUGAGCAUUUCUUUUGAGCAUCACAUUGGCAUUUGAAAAAGUUAUAGACUGGGCAUGGUGGCUCACGCCUGUAAUCCCAGCACUUUGGGAGGCCAAGGCGGGCAGAUCACAUGAGGUCAGGAGUUCGAGACCAGCCUGGCCAACAUAGUAAAACCCUGUCUCUACUAAAAAUACAAAAAUUAGCUGGGUGAGGUGGCAGGCGCCUGUAAUCGCAGCUACUCAGGAGCCUGAGGCAGGAGAAUCACCUGAACCCAGGAGGCAGAUUUGCAAUGAGCUAAGAUCAUGCCUCUGCAUUCCAGCCAGGGUGACAGAGCAAGACUACGUCUCAAAAAAAAAAAAAAAAA